rnacentral:rRNA from 1 species
GUCUAUGGCCAUGCUAUUCUGAACACACCCGAUCCCGUGUGAUCUCGGAAGCUAAGCUAGGUCAGGCCUGGUUAGCACUUGGAUGGGAGACCACCUAGGAAGACCAGGUGCCGUAGGCA